GCAGCAUAUCAUUCCAUGAAUCGCAGGAGUUCGUUCGCGGGGCGGAGCGAUCGGAUGUCAAUGGGUGACAAUGGUGAUCCAUCGGAUGUCAAUGGGUGACAAUGGUGAUGCGAUCGGAUGUCAAUGGGUGACAAUGGUGAUCCAUCGGAUGUCAAUGGGUGACAACGGUGAUGCGAUCGGAUGUCAAUGGGUGACAAGGGAUGAGGAUUUCUUGCAAGGAGUGCCCUGUGAAAUAUAUUGAGGGCAUAUCAAUGCUCCUUUGUACAUUAUCGCAGUAGUGUUAAUGAAUGGGCAGCGGUGGUGGAGAUGAUUAAGUGCCAUUGAGAUCAAGAUCGAGAUAGGAAUAGGGAGAUUAAUGGCGGCGAACGAAUCAGCCGUUGGAGAUUAAUCAUCAGAAUAUCGUCCACAUGCAUGACGUUAUUGAGUUGAGUUCGGAUGGGCCAGAGAUUGAGGGCGUAUCAAUGCUCCUUUGUACAUUGUCGCAGUGGUGGAGAUGGUUAAGUGCGGUUGAGAUGAAGAUCGAGAUAGAAACAGGAAGAUUAAUGGCGGCGAACGAUUCAGCCGUUGGAGAUUGAUCAUCAGAAUAUCGUCCGGAUGCAUGACGUUAUUGAGGUUGAGGGCAUAUCAAUGGUCCUUUCUACAUUGUCGCAGUGGUGUUAUUGAACGGGCAGCGGUGGUGGAGAUGAUUAAGUGCCAUUGAGAUCAAGAUCGAGAUUAAUGGCGGCGAACGAAUCAGCCCUUGGAGAUUAAUCGUCAGAAUAUCGUCCGGAUGCAUGACGUUAUUCAGAUUGAGAGCAUAUCAAUGCUCCUUUGUACAUUGUCGCAGUGGUGUUAUUGAAUGGCAGCGGUGGUGGAGAUGAUUAAGUGCCAUUGAGAUCAAGAUCGAGAUAGAAACAGGGAGAUUAAUGGCAGCGAACAAAUCAGCCAUUGGAGAUUAAUCGUCAGAAUAUCGUCUGGGAUGCAUGACGUUAUUGAGAUUUCUCGUUUAUUGUAGUUGGGGAUGACGAUCGAGACCGACUGAUCAAAUAAAAGGGUAGAUUUUAGAGAAGCUCAUUUAAUUCAUUUGAGCUGUCUCCUGACUCAAACACGGCCCAAGACUUAUGCUACCAGCAGGGUCUUGAAUGUAGUUGAGCAUGGCGAGAAAAGGGUCAUAGGUAUGGAUCGGGUCUCUUUUCAGCACUUGGGUUUGACAACAGAUAUUUUGUGGGGAUCCAACCCAAUGAUCGGUAAGACGGUGGCCCACUCUUUUCUCAUAUGAAGUGGAACGGUUGAUCCCCGCACUUUCUAUGGCGUUUGAUCUGCUAAGAAAGAAAGCCGGGCUGGCAAAUUCCCACCCUUCUUUCUCCAUGAUCGUUUCUUGCUCCACCAUUGAGCUCUUUGGGCAGCAUAUCUUUCUUUUAAUGGCAGGAGUUCGUUCACGAGGCGGAGCCAUCGGAUGUCAAUGGGUGACAAUGGUGAUGCAAUCGGAUGAUGCGGAUGAGGAUUUCUUGCAAGAAUGCCCUGUGAAAGAUAUUGAGGGCAUAUCAAUGCUCCGUUGUACAUUGUCACAGUGGUGUUAAUGAAUGGGCAGUGGUGGUGGAGAUGAUUAAGUGCCAUUGAGAUCAAGAUCGAGAUAGAAACAGGGAGAUUAAUGGCGGCGAACGAAUCAGCUGUUGGAGAUAUCGAGAUAGAUUGAGAUAGAAACAGGGAGUUUAAUGGCGGCGAACAAAUCAGCUGUCGGAGAUUAAUCUUCAGAAUAUCGUCCAGAUGCAUGACGUUAUUGAGAUUGAGGCAUAUCAAUGCUCCUUUGGACAUUGUUGCAGUGGUGUUAUUGAAUGGGCAUUGGUGGUGGAGAUGAAAAGUGCCAUUGAGAUGAAGAUCGAGAUAGAAACAGGGAGAUUCAUGACGGCAAACGAAUAAGCAGUUGGAGAUUAAUCAUCAGAAUAUCGUCUGGAUGCAUGUUGUUAUUAAGAUUUCUCGUUUAUUGUAGUUGGGGAUGACGAUCGAGACCGACUGAUCAAAUAAAAGGGUAGAUUUUAGAGAAGCUCAUUUAAUUCAUUUGAGCUGUCUCCUGACUCAAACACGGCCCAAGACUUAUGCUACCAGCAGGGUCUUGAAUGUAGUUGAGCAUGGCGAGAAAAGGGUCAUAGGUAUGGAUCGGGUCUCUUUUCAGCACUUGGGUUUGACAACAGAUAUUUUGUGGGGAUCCAACCCAAUGAUCGGUAAGACGGUGGCCCACUCUUUUCUCAUAUGAAGUGGAACGGUUGAUCCCCGCACUUUCUAUGGCGUUUGAUCUGCUAAGAAAGAAAGCCGGUGGGUAUCAAAUGCGCCAUAAAGUUUCUUCGAGUCCACAUUGGUUUUUAGGAAAAAAACAAAAAAAGUCAGUCGCUAUUUUCUCCAAUGAUUUUCUUCUUGUUGCAUGUUAGGGCUGGCAAAUUCCCACGCUUCUUUCUCCAUGAUCGUUUCUUGCUCCACCAUUGAGCUCUUUGGGCAGCAUAUCUUUCUUUUAAUGGCAGGAGUUCGUUCACGAGGCGGAGCCAUCGGAUGUCAAUGGGUGACAAUGGUGAUGCAAUCGGAUGAUGCGGAUGAGGAUUUCUUGCAAGAAUGCCCUGUGAAAGAUAUUGAGGGCAUAUCAAUGCUCCGUUGUACAUUGUCACAGUGGUGGUGGAGAUGAUUAAGUGCCAUUGAGAUCAAGAUCGAGAUAGAAACAGGGAGAUUAAUGGCGGCGAACGAAUCAGCUGUUGGAGAUAUCGAGAUAGAUUGAGAUAGAAACAGGGAGUUUAAUGGCGGCGAACAAAUCAGCUGUCGGAGAUUAAUCUUCAGAAUAUCGUCCAGAUGCAUGACGUUAUUGAGAUUGAGGCAUAUCAAUGCUCCUUUGGACAUUGUUGCAGUGGUGUUAUUGAAUGGGCAUUGGUGGUGGAGAUGAAAAGUGCCAUUGAGAUGAAGAUCGAGAUAGAAACAGGGAGAUUCAUGACGGCAAACGAAUAAGCAGUUGGAGAUUAAUCAUCAGAAUAUCGUCUGGAUGCAUGUUGUUAUUAAGAUUUCUCGUUUAUUGUAGUUGGGGAUGACGAUCGAGACCGACUGAUCAAAUAAAAGGGUAGAUUUUAGAGAAGCUCAUUUAAUUCAUUUGAGCUGUCUCCUGACUCAAACACGGCCCAAGACUUAUGCUACCAGCAGGGUCUUGAAUGUAGUUGAGCAUGGCGAGAAAAGGGUCAUAGGUAUGGAUCGGGUCUCUUUUCAGCACUUGGGUUUGACAACAGAUAUUUUGUGGGGAUCCAACCCAAUGAUCGGUAAGACGGUGGCCCACUCUUUUCUCAUAUGAAGUGGAACGGUUGAUCCCCGCACUUUCUAUGGCGUUUGAUCUGCUAAGAAAGAAAGCCGGGCUGGCAAAUUCCCACGCUUCUUUCUCCAUGAUCGUUUCUUGCUCCACCAUUGAGCUCUUUGGGCAGCAUAUCUUUCUUUUAAUGGCAGGAGUUCGUUCACGAGGCGGAGCCAUCGGAUGUCAAUGGGUGACAAUGGUGAUGCAAUCGGAUGAUGCGGAUGAGGAUUUCUUGCAAGAAUGCCCUGUGAAAGAUAUUGAGGGCAUAUCAAUGCUCCGUUGUACAUUGUCACAGUGGUGGUGGAGAUGAUUAAGUGCCAUUGAGAUCAAGAUCGAGAUAGAAACAGGGAGAUUAAUGGCGGCGAACGAAUCAGCUGUUGGAGAUAUCGAGAUAGAUUGAGAUAGAAACAGGGAGUUUAAUGGCGGCGAACAAAUCAGCUGUCGGAGAUUAAUCUUCAGAAUAUCGUCCAGAUGCAUGACGUUAUUGAGAUUGAGGCAUAUCAAUGCUCCUUUGGACAUUGUUGCAGUGGUGUUAUUGAAUGGGCAUUGGUGGUGGAGAUGAAAAGUGCCAUUGAGAUGAAGAUCGAGAUAGAAACAGGGAGAUUCAUGAUGGCAAACGAAUAAGCAGUUGGAGAUUAAUCAUCAGAAUAUCGUCUGGAUGCAUGUUGUUAUUAAGGUGAGUUCAGAUGCGCCACCGAUUCCACUCUUUCUUAGUUUGUUUUGUUUUAUUGGAGUAAAAUUUUGAGUGUUUCUUCUUUGUCAUGGUUAGUAGAUGAAAUGUGAGGAUUGCGUGAUUGGUAAAAUAGUUUGGGAUGUGUUCAUUCGUUAUUGUUUGGCUUUCUUAUAGAAAAAUUGUUAUUGGUUUUUGAGAUGUCACUCAGAGUUGAAUAAUGAGCGUGUGAUUAGGUGGCUGCAAGCAGCAGGGAUUGAAUUUCUUUUGGUAUAACUGUCAUGCUUGUUUAAGGAUGAUUACAAAUAGCGCAAUGUGGUUGUGGGUUUUGUGAAAUACCUGAUCGCAAGAUUGAGGAUGAAUGUUCUCGUUAGAGAUUUUAUUAUGAAACGAGACUCUGGCUUCUGGAAAUCAACAGCUUGC